GAAAUGUUGGAGCAUCGGGUUGUGCGCGGUCGCUCUUAAGUACUCGGCGUCAUUCGUGCUUGAUUUCGAGGAUUUUAUCCGUCUCUAAGGCACCGCGGCCGUUGACGGGAGGAUCGUGCUCUCAGUGUGUUGCCACACGCGCUGUGUCCAACGGUUACCCUCGUUCGAUGCGACUGGCAUAUGGGCGUCGGCAUUUGGCAGGUGGACAAAACGGAUUCUCAACGAAGCUGGACUUAAAUUUCACGCAAGAAAGGCAAGCUGGACGGGCAUUAGAAAUCUCCUACGAAAAAAAGCUUCAUGCCAUUUUUUUCGUCGUCACUGUUCGGACAUGGGGAGACAUCUCUGUGAACUUUCUCAUUGUGGAUU